GAUUAACGCUAGCGGCAGGCCUAAUACAUGCAAGUCGAGGGGCAGCAGGGUGUAGCAAUACAUCGCUGGCGACCGGCGCACGGGUGCGUAACACGUAUGCAACCUACCUUUAACUGGGGAAUAGCCCUCCGAAAGGAGGAUUAACACCGCAUAACAUCACGAGACGGCAUCGCCUUGUGAUCAAACCUCCGGGGGUUAAAGAUGGGCAUGCGUCCGAUUAGCUAGUUGGCGGGGUAACGGCCCACCAAGGCGACGAUCGGUAGGGGUCUGAGAGGAUGAUCCCCCACACUGGUACUGAGACACGGACCAGACUCCUACGGGAGGCAGCAGUAAGGAAUAUUGGACAAUGGUCGCAAGACUGAUCCAGCCAUGCCGCGUGCAGGAUGAACGAUCUAUGAUCUGUAAACUGCUUUUGUUCGGGAAUAAACCCCCUUCACGUGUGGAGGGCUGAAUGUACCG
rnacentral:rRNA from 1 species